rnacentral:misc_RNA from 1 species
AAGUCGUAACAAGGUAUCCGUAGGUGAACCUGCGGAUGGAUCAUUAACACAACCCCCAAAAAACUCUUGGGUCGGAAGCGAACCUCUUUUGGUUUUCUUCCUUCCCAUUGAAACCCCACUAUAUGCGAACUUGUCAACGGUCGGGAUGCCUUUGUGCAUUCCAGCCGUUCGUUUUUCCUCUCUUUCACUAUUAUUACAAUCAAAACCUAAACAACUUUGUCUAAAAAAAACUGGUUCUCUAUCUACGAAAGUAGUGUAGGAAACCAACUUAAAAAAAACUAAAAUACAACUUUUAACAACGGAUAUCUUGGCUCUC